rnacentral:rRNA from 1 species
AACGAACGCUGGCGGCAUGCCUAACACAUGUAAGUCGAACGAGACCUUCGGGUCUAGUGGCGCACGGGUGCGUAACGCGUGGGAACCUGCCCUUAGGUUCGGAAUAACUCCCCGAAAGGGGUGCUAAUACCGGAUAAUGUCUUCGGACCAAAGAUUUAUCGCCUUUGGAUGGGCCCGCGUUGGAUUAGCUAGUUGGUAGGGUAAAAGCCUACCAAGGCGACGAUCCAUAGCUGGUCUGAGAGGAUGAUCAGCCACACUGGGACUGAGACACGGCCCAGACUCCUACGGGAGGCAGCAGUGGGGAAUAUUGGACAAUGGGCGAAAGCCUGAUCCAGCAAUGCCGCGUGAGUGAUGAAGGCCUCAGGGUUGUAAAGCUCUUUUACCCGGGAUGAUAAUGACAGUACCGGGAGAAUAAGCUCCGGCUAACUCCGUG